GAUGAACGCUCGCUACAGGCUUAACACAUGCAAGUCGAGGGGCAGCAUGAACUUAGCUUGCUAAGUUUGAUGGCGACCGGCGCACGGGUGAGUAACACGUAUCCAACCUGCCGAUGACUCGGGGAUAGCCUUUCGAAAGAAAGAUUAAUACCCGAUGGCAUAGUUCUUCCGCAUGGUAGAACUAUUAAAGAAUUUCGGUCAUCGAUGGGGAUGCGUUCCAUUAGGUUGUUGGCGGGGUAACGGCCCACCAAGCCUUCGAUGGAUAGGGGUUCUGAGAGGAAGGUCCCCCACAAUGGAACUGAGACACGGUCCAAAAUCCUACGGGAGGCAGCGGUGAGGAAUAUUGGUCAAUGGACGAGAGUCUGAACCAGCCAAGUAGCGUGAAGGAGGACUGCCCUAUGGGUGGUAAACUUCUUUUAUACGAGAAUAAAGUGAGGCACGUGUGCCUUUUUGUAGGUACCGGAUGAAUAAGGAUCGGCUAACUCCGUG
rnacentral:rRNA from 1 species